rnacentral:siRNA from 1 species
CCACUUGAGAGAUACUACCAUUGG